rnacentral:rRNA from 1 species
AUUGAACGCUGGCGGCAUGCUUUACACAUGCAAGUCGAACGGUAACAGGCCUUCGGGUGCUGACGAGUGGCGAACGGGUGAGUAAUGCAUCGGAACGUGCCCAGAGGUGGGGGAUAACGCAGCGAAAGCUGUGCUAAUACCGCAUGUGAUCUGAGGAUGAAAGCGGGGGACCAGGCAGCAAUGUUUGGCCUCGCGCCUUUGGAGCGGCCGAUGUCAGAUUAGGUAGUUGGUGGGGUAAAGGCCUACCAAGCCGACGAUCUGUAGCUGGUCUGAGAGGACGACCAGCCACACUGGGACUGAGACACGGCCCAGACUCCUACUGGAGGCAGCAGUGGGGAAUUUUGGACAAUGGGCGCAAGCCUGAUCCAGCAAUGCCGCGUGCGGGAAGAAGGCCUUCGGGUUGUAAACCGCUUUUGUACGGAACGAAAAGGCUCUGGCUAAUACCUGGGGCUGAUGACGGUACCGUAAGAAUAAGCACCGGCUAACUACGUG